GAUGAACGCUAGCGGCAGGCCUAAUACAUGCAAGUCGAGGGGUAGUGGUUGCUUGCAGCCAUGAGACCGGCGCACGGGUGCGUAACGCGUAUGCAACCUACCUUCAUCUGGGGGAUAGCCCGGAGAAAUCCGGAUUAAUACCGCAUAAAAUCACAGUACGGCAUCGUACAAUGAUCAAACAUUUAUGGGAUGGAGAUGGGCAUGCGUGUCAUUAGUUAGUUGGCGGGGUACGGCCCACCAAGACCGCGAUGACUAGGGGAUCUGAGAGGAUGACCCCCCACACUGGUACUGAGACACGGACCAGACUCCUACGGGAGGCAGCAGUAAGGAAUAUUGGUCAAUGGGCGCAAGCCUGAACCAGCCAUGCCGCGUGCAGGAAGACGGCCCUCUGGGUUGUAAACUGCUUUUAUUCGGGAAUAAACCUGCUUACGUGUAAGUAGCUGAAUGUACCGAAGGAAUAAGGAUCGGCUAACUCCGUGCCAGCCGCCGCUGUAAAAC
rnacentral:rRNA from 1 species